GGGCUUGAGCUUGCAUCUGGAACCGAGACCCGUGUCGACAACCACCCUGAACCAGAACACUACCACCAGUGCCACCGACAUCAAAGCACCACCGUCACCAUUAUCAUCAAUAUCAUCACAGUAGUGGUAACAUCACCAGAAACAAGUGAAAGAAACAAAAGUUAAGUAAAAAAAAAUAGAAAACUAACAGAUCCCCGAUCUUCAGUCGAGAUGAAGGACCAGGGGACCAAACUUACCGGAGCUUUUGGUCGGAGCCGCCUGAUCCGUCACUGAACGUCGCCGCCGCCGCUGAAUCGCGGCUGUCGCCGCCCUGCACCACCGUGGAGGGGUGGCGGCUCCUCCUCCUUCGCGCCUCCAUCUUCUAUCACAACCAUCAUCAUCAUCGUUGUCAUUGAAGGAAUAUAGCCAGAGCCGGUCCGACUUGGACAUCGAGUGAGAGAGAACGAGAGGGGGGGGGGUUGUCGUCGGAAGAACAGCGCCGACCAUCAGCCGGUAAACGUUAGCCAGUCCGCCUGUGGGGUUGUUUGGCUGUGGAUGAUGUUUGAAAGCUUGAAUCUCCUGUUGUGUUGUAGAGAGGAAUCGAGAAGGAGAGGAGAGUGAAGGGGGCCAGGCAUUCGACUGCCUCUCUGUGUGUAUGGAGGGAUUUCUUUGAAGAAGAUGAAGAAAAUGGGAGGGAAACUAGAUGGGGUGUCGGCUGAAAGUGUUGUGUAUGGUUUGAUCAAAAUGAAAUGGAUAAGAUAA
rnacentral:lncRNA from 1 species